UACAGAGGGGCAAGCGUUGUUCGGAAUUACUGGGCGUAAAGGGCGCGUAGGCGGCCCGCUAAGUCGAACGUGAAAUCCCCGGGCUCAACCCGGGAACUGCGUCCGAUACUGGUGGGCUCGAAUCCGGGAGAGGGAUGCGGAAUUCCAGGUGUAGCGGUGAAAUGCGUAGAUAUCUGGAGGAACACCGGUGGCGAAGGCGGCAUCCUGGACCGGUAUUGACGCUGAGGCGCGAAAGCCAGGGGAGCAAACAGGG
rnacentral:rRNA from 1 species